rnacentral:rRNA from 1 species
GUGUCAGCAGCCGCGGUAAUACGAAGGGGGCUAGCGUUGUUCGGAAUUACUGGGCGUAAAGCGCGCGCAGGCGGUUCUUCAAGUCAGAGGUGAAAGCCCAGAGCUCAACUCUGGAAUGGCCUUUGAGACUAGAGAACUAGGGUACGGGAGAGGUGAGUGGAAUUCCGAGUGUAGAGGUGAAAUUCGUAGAUAUUCGGAAGAACACCAGUGGCGAAGGCGGCUCACUGGCCCGUUACCGACGCUCAGGCGCGACAGCGUGGGGAGCAAACAGGAUUAGAAACCCCCGUAGUCC